UUUUAUUUUGGUUUUUAUAUAUGUUUUAGGCCUAAGAGCCGGAAACCCGAGCUGGAAGUAAUUUCAGAAUGCAGCCUGCUGGAAAUUGAUACUUGGGAGGAUCGCGACUGUCAUGUUUUGGGUGAUGACUUGGUCCCAGAACUGAAGAACAGCGAGAACGUGCAUAGAUCGUUGACUGGUAGACUUCCUACAAUUGAUGAGGACGACGAAAAUGUUUAUGAAACACAAUCUUGGUGUAGUGAGGUUAACAAAACACAAUCUCGUUGUAGUGAGGUUAACAAAACACAAUCUCGGUGUAGU